rnacentral:rRNA from 1 species
GUGGGGAAUUUUGCGCAAUGGGCGAAAGCCUGACGCAGCAACGCCGCGUGGAGGAUGAAGGUCCUCGGAUCGUAAACUCCUGUCAGGGGGGACGAAAGCCUUAACCGGAUUGACUGUACCCCCUGAGGAAGCCACGGCUAACUCCGUGCCAGCAGCCGCGGUAAUACGGAGGUGGCAAGCGUUGUUCGGAAUUACUGGGCGUAAAGGGCGCGUAGGCGGCAUGGCAAGUCAGAUGUGAAAGCCCCGGGCUUAACUCGGGAAUUGCAUCUGAAACUGCUUUGCUUGAGUCCUGGAGGGGGUAGUGGAAUUCCCAGUGUAGCGGUGAAAUGCGUAGAUAUUGGGAGGAACACCUGCGGCGAAGGCGGCUACCUGGACAGUGACUGACGCUGAUGCGCGAAAGCUAGGGGAGCAAACGGGAUUAGAAACCCUUGUAGUCC